UAUACAACUUGUAUCAUUCUCCAACUAUAUCAUAUUUCAAAUAGAAAGUAUGCAUUGAACCUUUCAAUACUUAAUCUCUUAUAUAAAGCUCAUUUGAUAUAAGGGAGAUAAUAGCUAAGGAGAAAAGAAAAGAUGGCUGAGUUCAUUGAAGAUACAAAUACAAAGAACAAGAAUAAAGAUCCAUCCAUAAGCCUUGUUUCUGAUGGAAAAUCUUCUAAUGAACCAUCAAAAAAUGACCAAGUAGUAGAAACACAACCAGAAAAUAGUACACAAAAUCAAGAAAAAGAAAAUAUUAUUGCUCAACAAGGCCAAGAAGAAGAGGAGGAGAUGAAUGCUAAUGAUGAGGAAAGAGCAAAUUUUUCAACACCUCCAGGAAAAAGAUCAGCUCCUAAACCUAAGACGGGUUGAAACUAAUUAAUUAAUUAAGUCUUUGGGAAUUCCAAUAUUGUGCUAAUUAUUUCAAGAAACCUAGUUGUUUUCUAGGUUUUUUUUUUUUGGUUUGUUCUUCUCAUUUUUAAUAUUGUAAUUUGUAAUGGUUAAUUCUUCUUGGUUAUUGUAAUGGUUAAUCUGUUUUAAAAAGAAUGUCAUAAGAAA